rnacentral:rRNA from 1 species
UACGUAGGGGGCAAGCGUUGUCCGGAUUUAUUGGGCGUAAAGAGCGUGUAGGCGGCCAGGUAGGUCUGCUGUGAAAACUCGAGGCUUAACCUCGAGAUGUCGGCGGAAACCGUCUGGCUAGAGUCCGGAAGAGGAGAGUGGAAUUCCUGGUGUAGCGGUGAAAUGCGCAGAUAUCAGGAAGAACACCUAUGGCGAAGGCAGCUCUCUGGGACGGUACUGACGCUGAGACGCGAAAGCGUGGGGAGCGAACAGG